CAAAUCCUCUGUCUUGAAAGAAAGAGCAAGCAAUUGCGUGAUGUGAGGCGGAACGAUCUUGUGUCUCUCACGACAAUUUGGAGUGCGAGAUGCGACAAUGGGAUCCAAAACGUUGUGAUGUUUUUAAAUCCGUUUCCAUUCGCGGUGUACUACACGAGUAACUUUGAUGAUCAAGGAGAAGAAAAGGAAGAGUUUUGAUGAAUGAUCUCCCGCUUCAUCAUCUGCGAGUUUCUUUCUUCUAGCGGAUAGUUUCAGUUUUCUCGCGUGAUUUGUGCAAGGAUUUAGCAGUAGCUAGGGAGAGACAUUGCAUGAUAGCUACACCAAAGAGCAAGCUCGGCUCCUUGUGUGGCUUUGAUGCACUGCCUCUUCCCUGGCUGCGGCCAAGUUACUUCCUCCUGUUUUUCCCAAAAGAUAUUCUAGUUUCUUUCCAUGAAUCGAAGCUCCACUUUUGAUCCACGAGAUCCACAC